UACGAAGGGGGCUAGCGUUGUCCGGAAUUAUUGGACGUAAAGAGCUCGUAGGUGGUUGGUCACGUCUGCUGUGGAAACGCAACGCUUAACGUUGCGCGGGCAGUGGGUACGGGCUGACUAGAGUGCAGUAGGGGAGUCUGGAAUUCCUGGUGUAGCGGUGAAAUGCGCAGAUAUCAGGGGGAACACCGGUGGCGAAGGCGGGACUCUGGGCUGUAACUGACACUGAGGAGCGAAAGCAUGGGGAGCGAACAGG
rnacentral:rRNA from 1 species